rnacentral:lncRNA from 1 species
GUCCCCAUGGCUAUUAAAACUCUGUACUACCAUGAGCCGUCCAUCUCUUUAUAUUCACAAUAAUACAUGAGGUACGGUUCCCUUGGUUUAUGGGAACAAAAGAACCACGGUUUCUUUUGUUUGUAUGACAAAAGACCCCCACCUCACAUGAGAGCAAGAAUGUUGAUCUUCUUUUGCUCGGGCUUUGGAUUGCGUGCACCUCCCUCCCAUCCCUCCCCC